AGGAUAAACGGAGGGUUCAUGCAAGUGGAAACAUAAGCCUGGAUACAGAACGGUGCCUGCACUCGGGCAGUGAGGAGACGCAAAGCAAAACGGAAGUCAUUCCAAAUGCAAAAGCAGCACCUGACCCACAGCCUCACCCCGAGGCUCAAAUUAGGUCAUCCGUGGGCAGCACUUGGCAGAAUUCCAACAAUAACCAUCGCCAGCACCCUCGUUUCCUUUCUUCCUGCUGAAACACAUCUCCCAGCAGUUCUUUCAGAAAGUAACAUCCCCUGCCUCCUCCUCACCCAACUUGGAAGACUUUAGGAUCUUCUCUGUAUCAUCGUUUUGCACUGCGGAUUUGGUGUGUGUGAGGUGGGGGAGUUGUCUGCAUUGAUCCUGCUCAGCACCUGGUGGUCUCUCCUGGCGAGGACUCCAGUCCUGCGUUUCAGACCCUCUCCGCUGGCUCCACUGACUUUUGUUCUCGUGGAGGCUCACAUCCCUUGGAAACUGGGCGAUGUGUGACGGUGAGCUCACCUUAGCUGCGGCUUCUCCCAUGAGGCCCCUGCUGGGUCACCUGCCACACCCUUGGGGGCGACUCAGCCUCUCGCGACCGAACCUCAGUCACCUCUGCGCACUCUUCACAAAUCAGCCUGUCCUUGGCCGGCUGAGCCCAGCUCAUCAAGAAUCCACCUCCCCCAGGACUUCCCUGGUGGCGCAGUGGCUAAGACUUUGCGCUCCCAAUGCAGAGGGCCCAGGUCCCACGUCUAGUCAGGGAACUAGACCCCACAUGCCAGAACUAAGACCCAGCACAGCCAAAGCCAAUGGGCGUGAAUCGGAACACACUCUGGGAGAUGGUGAAGGACAGGGAAGCCUGGCAUGCUACAGUCCAUGGUGUUGCAGAGAGUGGGACACAGCAUGGUGACCAAACAACAGCCAAGCAAACAAAUAAAAAGAAUCCCCAACUCCCAAUACCCAGCCGAGCUCCACGUCUCCCACCUGGGAUACGUGCCGCGUCCCUCUAACCUUCCAUCCGUUCCCUCACCCUGCCCGCCUGUCCCUGUGUUUUCAGAGUUGAGCCCAGUCUCUCUCUUCUAUUGCAAUAGUCUUGAAUAAAGUCUUCCUUGUCCAGGUUAUUUUUUUUUUUUUCUCUUUUACAAAAGGAAGGCUAAAGGCUGAGUCUUCAAUCUCCAGUAAGAGUGGAAGGGCAGAUCAUGCCUGGUGGAGGUUAUUGGGUCCAGACCGGGCUUGAGUGCUCCAUACCCCUCCCAGAGCCACCAGACACCCGGACAUGCCCUGCCUUUUAAAACCAAGAUCCCACAGUCGCUGAUCCUAGUUUAGACAGACCCUUAAUCACUGAGGUUGACCCCAGGUUGGGGGGGCAGGGCAGGGGGCAAGUGCAGCCAAUCAGUGCCCAGGUGAGAAAGCUUCAUUUACACACAAGCAUCCCCUUCAUAAGACAUCAAGGAAACGGCUUGCGUAGGGUGGGGGCAAGCCCUUAUGGAACUGAGGGCCCUUUCCGUGCCCUGAGCAAAAGCAUGUCUGAUUUCUAGGUUGUCCCACACCCAGGGACGGCUUUGUCUGCCACCCACAGAGCAGAUGUCCCCACUCACUGUUGUGAGAAAGCUGCGGCCACAGACAGAAUGUGGAAACAGUCUCCAGGUGGAGAACAUCCGGGGGUUGGGGGGAUGAGACAGGGUGCAGGAGAGGGUAAAGGGACCAGUGCAGGGAGCACAAGUUUGGAGAACUUCCGCCCUUUAUUUGGCACUUCCUUUUUAAAAAGAAAAUGUUUAUAAC
ensembl:lncRNA